rnacentral:rRNA from 1 species
ACGAACGCUGGCGGCGUGCUUAACACAUGCAAGUCGAACGGAAAGGCCCUGCUUUUGUGGGGUGCUCGAGUGGCGAACGGGGGAGUAACACGGGAGUAACCUGCCCUUGACUUUGGGAUAACUUCAGGAAACUGGGGCUAAUACCGGAUAGGAGCUCCUGCUGCAUGGGGGGGGUUGGAAAGUUUCGGCGGUUGGGGAUGGACUCGCGGGUUAUCAGCUUGUUGGUGGGGGAGUGGCUUACCAAGGCUUGGACGGGUAGCCGGCCUGUGAGGGUGACCGGCCACAUUGGGACUGAGAUACGGCCCAGACUCCUACGGGAGGCAGAAGUGGGGAAUAUUGCACAAUGGGCGGAAGCCUGAUGCAGCAACGCCGCGUGCGGAAUGACGGCCUUCGGGUUGUAAACCGCUUUCGCCUGUGACGAAGCGUGAGUGACCGUAAGGGGUAAAGAAGCACCGGCUAACUACGUGC